CUUUGGACCACUGAGCAACAGUCCAGUUCUUUUUCUCCUUAGCUAAGGACUUUGCGAGUGUGUCUAAGUUGGAUACCGGUUCAUAUUUCUGUGAGGCCAGUAAUGGAGAAGGUGCCCCUCAGCGUGGAGAUGCAAUGCGCAUGGAAGUCCGCUGUCAGAAAAUAUGUGUGGCUCCAGAAUACAUGGUCACAUGACAGUAAAAGUGUACAGUUGCCAAGAUGCAGGGGGUGGGUCAACUUACCCCACUCUCCCCUACUUCCAUUGAAGAUGAGACAGAAGCUGGCUCUAAGAGUAAGGGAGACCUCACUUAUAUAAACAUCUACAAUAAAGUCUGAAAUUAUUACAGAGUGUGCGAUCUUCUCUUUUAGUCAUAUACUUGUAACAACUGGAUAAUUUGUAUUAACAAGCACCCACCCUCCUUGUACCCCUUUUUUUGGUUUGGGCCACUGCCCCUCAAAAUGUCUGUGCACGGCCCUGGUCUAAAGCGAAACAAGCCUCGAUAUGCACUUCACGGAAAGCUGCUGGGAUUUCUCAAUACGCACUCAGAAGCCUUGGCACAGAACGUAAUAUCACUAAAGCAUAGCUCCCUUUAAAAAAUGUGUAGGGGUUCUGGAGUAGCCAU